UACGUAGGGCGCAAGCGUUGUCCGGAAUUUAUUGGGCGUAAAGAGCUCGUAGGCGGUUUGUCACGUCGGAUGUGGAAAGCCCCGGGGCUUAACCCCCGGGUUCUGCAUUCGAUACGGGCAGACGUAGAGUGUGGUAGGGGAGAUCGGAAUUCCUGGUGUAGCGGUGAAAAUGCGCAGAUAUCAGGAGGAACGACCGGUGGCGAAGGCGGAUCUCUGGGCCAUUACUGACGCUGAGGAGCGAAAGCGUGGGGAGCGAACAGG
rnacentral:rRNA from 1 species